UACGAAGGGGGCUAGCGUUGCUCGGAAUCACUGGGCGUAAAGCGCACGUAGGCGGAUCUUUAAGUCAGGGGUGAAAUCCUGGAGCUCAACUCCAGAACUGCCUUUGAUACUGGGGAUCUCGAGUCCGGAAGAGGUGAGUGGAACUCCGAGUGUAGAGGUGAAAUUCGUAGAUAUUCGGAAGAACACCAGUGGCGAAGGCGGCUCACUGGCCUGUUCUUGACGCUGAGGCGCGAAAGCUAGGGGAGCAAACGGG
rnacentral:rRNA from 1 species